AUGCAGGAUAGCCGUCGGAGCGCCUUGGU
rnacentral:sRNA from 1 species